AAGGUUUGGUGUUUUUAUUGCUCCUUAGAUCGGUGUUGGACCGGCGAACACUUUAGGCCUAUUAUCAUUCAGAGGACUUGCUAACAUGAAGAAAACGGUCCAGAGGUUCCACCUGAGAGCCGGGACUGUCAAACAGUAAGAGACAACGAAAAGGGGGGAACUGUCUUUAAGCUGUGGAGUCAGAUGGAGGGCUCGCAUUUACCUCAAAAACGGCAUUGCAGAAGACUCGAACAACUAGAACCAACUCAAGCACACAAUGGUGACACACAUUUGUAAGACCUUUCCCUGUGAUAUAAAAUUUCCCUGUGGUAAUUAUUCAGAUUCUUCUCAUUGUCUUCUCAUGGUCCAGAUCCGGAAAAAACGGAUCC